rnacentral:rRNA from 1 species
AUACGUAGGGUGCAAGCGUUAAUCGGAAUUACUGGGCGUAAAGCGUGCGCAGGCGGUUUUGUAAGACAGAGGUGAAAUCCCCGGGCUCAACCUGGGAACUGCCUUUGUGACUGCAAGGCUAGAGUACGGCAGAGGGGGGUGGAAUUCCGCGUGUAGCAGUGAAAUGCGUAGAUAUGCGGAGGAACACCGAUGGCGAAGGCAACCCCCUGGGCCUGUACUGACGCUCAUGCACGAAAGCGUGGGGAGC